GUGCUUGCUUCGGCAGCACAUAUACUAAAAUUGGAACAAUAAAGAGAAGAUUAGCAUGGCACCUGCACAAGGAUGACAUGCAAAUUUGUAAAGCAUUCCAUAUUUUU
rnacentral:snRNA from 1 species